rnacentral:rRNA from 1 species
GACGAACGCUGGCGGCGUGCCUAACACAUGCAAGUAGAACGUAGUUGCGAACGGGUGAGUAACGCGUAGGUAACUGCCUGGUAGCGGGGGAUAAUUAUCGGAAACGAUAGCUAAUACCGCAUACUACCAGAUGGACCUGCGUUGUAUUAGCUAGUUGGGGGGGUAACGGCUCACCAAGGCAACGAUCCGUAGCCGACCUGAGAGGGGGGUCGGCCGCACUGGGACUGAGACACGGCCCAGACUGCUACGGGAGGCAGCAGUAGGGAAACUUCGGCAAGGGGCGGAAAUCUGACCGAGCAACGGCGCAUGAGUGGAGAGGGUUUUCGGAUCGUAGAGCUCUGUUGUAAGGGAAGCGGUAUCUUAACAGGAAGGAACGGCUAACUACGUGCCAGCAGCCGCGGUAAUUC